rnacentral:rRNA from 1 species
UGGGGAAUUUUCCGCAAUGGGUGAAAGCCUGACGGAGCAAUACCGCGUGAGGGAUGAAGGAUUUUGGUCUGUAAACCUCUUUUCUCAAGAAAGAAGUUCUGACGGUACUUGAGGAAUAAGCAUCGGCUAACUCCGUGCCAGCAGCCGCGGUAAUACGGGGGAUGCAAGCGUUAUCCGGAAUCAUUGGGCGUAAAGCGCCUGUAGGUUGUUUAAUAAGUCUGUUGUUAAAGACUAGGGCUUAACCCUAGGAAAGCAAUGGAAACUACUAGACUAGAGUAUGAUAGGGGUAGAGGGAAUUUCUAGUGUAGCGGUGAAACGCGUAGAUAUUAGGAAGAACACCGGUGGCGAAGGCGCUCUACUGGAUCAUUACUGACACUCAGAGGCGAAAGCUAGGGUAGCAAAAGGGAUUAGAUACCCCUGUAGUCA